GACGAACGCUGGCGGCGUGCUUAACACAUGCAAGUCGAACGGAAAGACCCUGCUUUUGUGGGGUGCUCGAGUGGCGAACGGGUGAGUAACACGUGAGUAACCUGCCCUUGACUUUGGGAUAACUUCAGGAAACUGGGGCUAAUACCGGAUAGGAGCUCCUGCUGCAUGGUGGGGGUUGGAAAGUUUCGGCGGUUGGGGAUGGACUCGCGGCUUAUCAGCUUGUUGGUGGGGUAGUGGCUUACCAAGGCUUUGACGGGUAGCCGGCCUGAGAGGGUGACCGGCCACAUUGGGACUGAGAUACGGCUCAGACUCCUACGGGAGGCAGCAGUGGGGAAUAUUGCACAAUGGGCGGAAGCCUGAUGCAGCAACGCCGCGUGCGGGAUGACGGCCUUCGGGUUGUAAACCGCUUUCGCCUGUGACGAAGCGUGAGUGACGGUAAUGGGUAAAGAAGCACCGGCUAACUACGUG
rnacentral:rRNA from 1 species